rnacentral:rRNA from 1 species
CCUACGGGAGGCAGCAGUGAGGAAUAUUGGUCAAUGGACGCAAGUCUGAACCAGCCAUGCCGCGUGCAGGAUGACGGCUCUAUGAGUUGUAAACUGCUUUUGUACGAGGGUAAACCCCGAUACGUGUAUCGGGUUGAAAGUAUCGUACGAAUAAGGAUCGGCUAACUCCGUGCCAGCAGCCGCGGUAAUACGGAGGAUCCGAGCGUUAUCCGGAUUUAUUGGGUUUAAAGGGUGCGUAGGCGGUUUGAUAAGUUAGAGGUGAAAUGUCGGGGCUCAACCCCGAAACUGCCUCUAAUACUGUUGGACGCGAGAAUAGUUGCGGUAGGCGGAAUGUAUGGUGUAGCGGUGAAAUGCUUAGAGAUCAUACAGAACACCGAUUGCGAAGGCAGCUUACCAAACUAUAUCUGACGUUGAGGCACGAAAGCGUGGGUAGCAAACAGGAUUAGAUACCCGUGUAGUC